CUUUUAGAUUUAAAGACAAAUCGAGUGAAAACCAGUCGAGAGAGAGAGAGAUGUAACUUUUCUCGAUAGAAUAACCGAAAAAGAAUCUCCAACUCAUACAGCGUGUGAUGAAGUAAUUCUUUCAAAAAAUACAGAUUUUCAUAAAGAGAUACAAUAAGUACAGCAUCACCAAGAAGAAUCAGAAGCAUCAGAUACGCAAUCAAGUCAAUACUUGGAAAAAGAAAUUAACAAUCGAGCCUUAUAAUUUUAAUGCUGGUUAAAUCUAGGAUCAGUACUCUGAAAUCCAACUUUUAAUCAUGUCUCACCUUGUACGGCCUGCAGAUCUUAGCGUUUUUCCUCCAAUCCUUCUUCUGAUGGUCUUUGCAACAGUAGUAAACACUUUUGCAUGCAUAGCACCUAAGAGUCGUAACCUUACCACAAAUCUCACAAACAGUUUUAGAUUCCAUUGCUCGAGUCGCUAAAAGCUCGUUUUCAGAAAAAGGAAAAUUAAACAAAAAUUUCAUAUGUUCAAUAUGAAGGAUCGCGUGUAACAGACUUUAGUGGGAAAGACGAUUAGUUACGUCAGCACAUAGUAGUGAGACCCUAUUACUUAUUACGGCGAUAGGAGUAUUAAUUUUGAAUUGCUUAUGAAUUUUGAGAUUACCGGUUUUAAUAUAUUCAAUACAAUAAUGAAACCGAAUGUAACAAUAAAGUAUAACACAUAACUAGUGUAACGGAUACUAAGUCGAAUUCAAUGCUUCUUUGCGAGUGUUUUACAGAUUGCGGUUAGUUCGGGCGCUGAACUGUAGUUCCUUGUUGUGUAAAAAACGUAAUGAGUUGCAUUUUUCGAUUGAAUUUUAUACCGUAUAAUCGACAAGUUUUGAUCCAAGUUUUCGUUGUACUGACGAUGAAUAAAGGCUAAUUACCACUCGCGAGAAACUUUUACUACCGCUGCAAUGAAUCCUGCCUAUACCUGUAUCGACAGCGUCAGAAUGGGACCAUUACUCGUCUCCCUUCUCAGAUGGUCCAAAACUGGAACCGAGCUAAAUAGCUAAAAGAUAAAUUUUUUCCUACCGAUGUUUAUCAAACGUUUAGUGCUUUUUAUAUGUCCAUCGCAUUAGAAAACAAUGAAUUCACUGUCCUCACCGUGGGGCGGUUUUAUUUUUGGUAUCUUCUCCCAUUUGACGGCGCUUUCUUAUUCUUUUUUGUAAAACUAUCACGAUUGCAAUCGUCACGGUUUUCCGAUUAAAACAACACCAACCACGAUAUAA